UGUUAUGCGCAUGUCUCUAACCGUUAGUCCCAUGGAUUUUAAACUUGACAGGUGUCUUGCUACGGGCAUGAGUAAGUGCAGUGCCAAGUUUGACAUUGUUUGGAUUAGAAAUGAAAGAUAUUGUUAAAUAUAAAUCGGUAAAACAAGCACACAUUGGCUUUUGCCUCUCUAGCCAUUGGCCACUCCCCCUCUCACGCUAAGGACUAGAGACAGAGAGCAGCCGAGCUAUGGCUGCUAAAUUGUGAAAUACACCUCAGACCCACAAAAAUGUGCAAAGUAGCACUACUUUGGACAGUCUUUAUCUUUGAAUAGACAAACAAUUCCUGAAUUUCAGGACGUUUCAGAAUCCCACACAUGCAGAGCACCACCAGACAACCAGUGCAGACAGAGCGUGAUGCCACUUAUAGGCAGGCUGUUUAUCUUAUAAAGAGAGACGUGUCUGUAUAUAUUGACGCUUUUACAU